rnacentral:piRNA from 1 species
GCUGAGUGUUUCUGCUUUCAUAUUAGCAU